rnacentral:rRNA from 1 species
AGAGCGAACGCUGGCGGCAGGCCUAACACAUGCAAGUCGAGCGGCCGUAGCAAUACGGCAGCGGCAGACGGGAGAGUAACACGUGGGAACGCGCCCUUCGGUUCGGAAUAACUCAGGGAAACUUGAGCUAAUACCGGAUACGCCCUUACGGGGAAAGAUUUAUUGCCGAAGGAACGGCCCGCGUCCGAUUAGCUAGUUGGUGAGGUAAUGGCUCACCAAGGCGACGAUCGGUAGCUGGUCUGAGAGGAUGAUCAGCCUCACUGGGACUGAGAUACGGCCCAGACUCCUACGGGAGGCAGCAGUGGGGAAUAUUGGACAAUGGGCGCAAGCCUGAUCCAGCCAUGCCGCGUGGAUGAUGAAGGCCCUAGGGUUGUAAAGUCCUUUCGGCGGGGAAGAGUAAUGACGGUACCCGCAGAAGAAGCCCCGGCUAACUUCGUGCCAGCAGCCGC